rnacentral:tRNA from 1 species
GUUCUUGUAGUAAAAUAAUUACAGUGGUUCUUCAGGCCAUUGAUCCCGGUUAGAGUCCGAGCAGGAAUU